AAUGCUUCUCGGCCUUUUGGCUAAGAUCAAGUGUAGCAUAUUUAUUUAACUCACAUUUAUUGAAAAUCGCUCUAUUGUUUUGCAAGAUAUAUACAUUUUAAGAGGAAGGGGGAGAAUGAGGGAGUGAUUUUUUUACUCUUCAAACAAA
ensembl:snRNA U2 U2 spliceosomal RNA